GCGAGAGUGGCGGAACUGGUAGACGCGCACGUUUGAGGGGCGUGUGAAGCAAUUCAUACGGGUUCAAGUCCCGUUUCUCGCACCA
rnacentral:tRNA from 1 species